rnacentral:rRNA from 1 species
CCUACGGGUCGCUGCAGUGGGGAAUAUUGGACAAUGGGCGAAAGCCUGAUCCAGCCAUGCCGCGUGUGUGAAGAAGGCCUUCGGGUUGUAAAGCACUUUCAGUGGGGAAGAAAGCCUUGGGGCUAAUACCCUCGAGGAAGGACAUCACCCACAGAAGAAGCACCGGCUAACAUCCGUGCCAGCAGCCGCGGUAAUACGGAGGGUGCGAGCGUUAAUCGGAAUUACUGGGCGUAAAGCGCGCGUAGGCGGUCUGAUAAGCCGGUUGUGAAAGCCCCGGGCUCAACCUGGGAACGGCAUCCGGAACUGUCAGGCUAGAGUGCAGGAGAGGAAGGUAGAAUUCCCGGUGUAGCGGUGAAAUGCGUAGAGAUCGGGAGGAAUACCAGUGGCGAAGGCGGCCUUCUGGACUGACACUGACGCUGAGGUGCGAAAGCGUGGGUAGCAAACAGGAUUAGAUACCCUAGUAGUC